AUAUAAGUUUGGUUCUGGCUUUUGGUUAGUAAUGUUCAUGAUAAAAACACAUUGGUACUUAAAGGGUAAUGGGAGUAUGUCAGGUUUAAAGUAAAAUUUUUAAUAGUUUUUAUGGAAGAACUGAUGGGGUAUAUUAUUAGGUUGCUAUGCGGCUAAGAUAAUUAAUAAAUUUUCCCAGCACCAGUGGAAAAUAUUGGAUAAAGUUGGAAACAAAGAUUCAGGGUAGACAUACGAGGAGGGUAAGCUUGGUGCCAGCACCUGCGGUUAAACCAACUCCUAGAUUAAUCUUUUCGCAGAGGAGUAAAAGUUUGGAUAAAAAUUAUAUUUAGUAGAUAUCUGGUUAAAUAGAUUCUAUAAGGUGAGUUUAGUAGUUUUGAAAUCUUAAAUCUUAAAAGUCUGUUUAUGUAGACCGGGAUUAGAGGCCCCGUUAUAUAUGAUGUUUUUAGUUUCUGCGGUAAGUACGAGCAGAAUUGGGCUUAAAAACCAAAGAACUUGGCGGUGCACUAUAUUAGUUCAGGGGAACUUGACGGUUAAAUCGAUGAUCCUCGAAAAACCUUACCUUUUUUUUUCUUGCUAUACCGCCGUUGCCAGUUAAAUUUUUGAGGGAAUAGAGUUUUGCGAGAUAAAUAAUGUAUUUUGUUAUUUAGGAAUUCAGGUAAACGUAGUGGAAAUAUAAAGAGGGCUUAGUUGAGUUACAUUGUAAUAUUGAAGGGAAAAAAGAUGAAAAAUCUUUUUGAAUUUGGACCUGAUAGUAAAUUUUUGUUAGUAAGGAUUGUUGAACUGUACAAUGGUGCGUGUACAAAUUGCCCGGUGCCCCCAGAUAGAGAAGCUGGGGUAAGCCGUAACAUGGUAAUGCUACUAGA
rnacentral:rRNA from 1 species